rnacentral:rRNA from 1 species
GUAGCACAGAGAGCUUGCUCUCGGUGUGACGAGCGGCGGACGGGUGUAGUAAUGUCUUGGGAAACUGCUGAUGGAGGGGGAUAACUACUGGAAACGGUAGCUAAUACCGCAUAACGUCGCAUGACCAAAGUGGGUGGACCUUCGGGCCUCAUGCCAUCAGAUGUGCCCAGAUNGGAUUAAGCUUGUAAGUNGGGUUAACNGGCUCACCCUAAGGCGACGAUCCCUAGCUGGUCUGAGAGGAUGACCAGCCACACUGGAACUGAGACACGGUCCAGAACUCAUACGGGAGGCAGCAGUGGGGAAUAUUGCACAAUGGGCGCAAGCCUGAUGCAGCCAUGCCGCGUGUGUGAAGAAGGCCUUCGGGUUGUAAAGCACUUUCAGCGGGGAGGAAGGCGGUGAGGUUAAUAACCUCAUCGAUUGACGUUACCCGCAGAANAAGCACCGGCUAACUCCGUGCCAGCAGCCGCGGUAAUACGGAGGGUGCAAUGC